ACUUGUAGGUCAGAGAGUCAUACACAACACAGCCCCCAAUUGAACAACUCCGUACGCUCGAGCUUACUCCAACUCCCCAUGCUCACACACGCACGUGUCAGUUGACCCAAUCACUAGUUCUUCUUACACAACACAAACAAACCCCCUUUUACUACAACAUUCAAACAAGCCCUAAUCUCUUCCUCAGACAACCUUCAAUUCAGUGAUCCUAUUGUCUCAAUUCUCAGGUUCUCAUAUGGGAAUAUUAUUUAUUUGCUAUUACUACAGUCUUGUCUCUUGGUAUGGUGGCUUUCUUGACCAUAAGAAGUUUGGGAUAAUAUUUGAUGCUUUACUUGGUUGCUUAAAGAGUUAAAGGUCUAUUUUUUCUUUUCAGUCUUUCUAGCUCCUUUGACAUUGUUGUGAGCGUAGCCUGAAGCGUCUCUCUUUAAUAUGCACCUCCUGGUCAACUUACUUGCUUCUAGGGCUCGAGGCUAAUUUCCAAUUUCCAAUACUCAUCCUAUCUUCAGUUGUUGCAGGUGAUUCAGAUGUUAAAUCUGUCUUGCACAUUGCAAAUUACUUUACCUUAUAUGUUCUUUGUGGAAAAAUACUCAUCUGAAUGAUGGAUAUGUAUCCCACAUGUGGUGUGGCUAGGCAUAGAGCACAAUCUUGACGAAUAUUACCAGAUUUGCUUCCUCGGGUCUUCACUUGGAUCCGACCCAGUUUGGUCAUGCCCACAAUAAAGGCUCGCUCAAAAGCUGCGGAGUUGCCAGCCCAGAUGUUAACGAACGGCCUGGAUCUAUAAUCAUUAUAGAGAACCUGAUCAGAGCUGAAGAGCCCCUUGCCCACCUGAAGAUUCUUGUAGUAUUGGUUGUCAAAUUUUCUGGGGGAAACUGGAUCCAUAUCAACAGCUAUUCUUGGGUCAACAUCUAUAGGGCACAUUGAUUGUAACUCAGCCGAGUACUUCCUGCUUAGCGCUGGAUCUACCUUUCUGUUACGGCUGAAAUUGUAUAUGCGAUUUGCAAAUUGGUCACAGUGAGAAAACCCCACUGUGUGAGCAGCUGAGAGAACAAGCAUCUUAUUAGAUUAGCGAUUUUGGAAUCCAGAACAAAGGGCUUAGAGUUUUUGCGACUGUACCUGAUAGAGCAAUCAUAUCCAUUCGGUUUAAGCCAAGUGAAGAAAAAAAGUAAGUGAGCUGAUCCAAAUUGAAGGUAGGCUUUGGGAUCUUCCCAUACACACUUGAAGAAGUGGAUACCAGCCCAUCUAAUCUUCCCAACUCCACUCGGUAUGAAGGUCCACCAGACUGCAUGAAUGUCAUAUAUAGUUACCAUGCUCAUACAUGUGUCAGUAAUAUAAAGAGGAUUGUGGCUCCUAUACUUGAGUGGUAAGCAGUUUAGUUACAAACCAGAGAAAUGACAUCUCGAGUAGCCAUGGCAAGAAUGUCAGCGCAUGAAACUUUGUUUUUGCAACCAGGAACCUCAUCCACUGCAGCUUUAGCUUUUAUCACCGUGUCAUAUCCGUCUCCAGCCAGUGACAGAUUAUCCGGUGUUACCUGGACUAAGCAGUCAUGGAAAAAGAGACGAAGAGUUGCAGGGAUGGUAACAAAGGUUUGGUUAAUUUUUGUUUUGACGACUUCGCGCACAAUAGAUUCCACCUUAGGACACACAUUGGCAUAGUAGUUUGUACUCAGAGCUCCGGAUGCCAAACCGGGGUGGAGGAUCAGCCAGAAACUAACACAAAUCGACAAGGGUACUAAUACUUGGCCACCCAUUGAUGUAAAAUGGCAGACAAAUUAGUAAGUGAUGAGAUAUAAUACACACACAUGUAUAUAUAAAGUUUGUGUUGUGUGGAAGAUGGAAUGAUAGAAAAUACUGAUCCAACAGGUGUGUCGAACUAAAAAUAAUCGCUUAAACUAAGUGAUCAUUAAGGCAGACCUGCUAGAUAGAUAUUACAGACCAAUCUUUACAAGAGAGAAUGGACCAGAAGGUGGUAUGAUACCAAUUAUAUAGGCUGAAUUAGUAAGUGUAUUAAAGUUGUACGUAUGGACAUAAUGCAUGUUUAUUUAUGUGCCUAACUACAUGAACUAGCAGUGUCUUUUUUAUCACUGUGUAAUGAAAUCUUUAACCUUUAUUGUUUUUA